rnacentral:lncRNA from 13 species
ACCUCAUAUUAACCUUCCCUCUCUGACUAGGAGCACAACUCCCUCUACCACCUCAUAUUAACCUUCCCUCUCUGACUGGGAGCACAACACAACUCCCUCUACCACCUCAUAUUAACCUUCCCUCUCUGACUGGGAGCACAACACAACUCCCUCUACCACCUCAUAUUAACCUUCCCUCUCUGACUGGGAGCACAACUCCCUCUACCACCUCAUAUUAACCUUCCCUCUCUGACUGGGAGCACAACACAACUCCCUCUACCACCUCAUAUUAACCUUCCCUCUCUGACUGGGAGCACAACACAACUCCCUCUACCACCUCAUAUUAACCUUCCCUCUCUGACUGGGAGCACAACUCCCUCUACCACCUCAUUAACCUUCCCUCUCUGACUGGGAGCACCAUGUUGUGUCGACACCCUUCUGUCAUCACGUAUUUGGGUUGAUUCAUGAGAUGAACCGAUUACUGCCCACAAUAAUUUCCACUACCACCUCUCCUGCCAUGUAGCAUCAAAUACCUUGUUUUAGUCGACUACCACCUCUCCUGCCAUGUAGCAUCAAAUACCUUCUUUAACCCAACUACCACCUCUCCUGCCAUGUAGUGUCAAAUACCUUCUUUAACCCUACUACCACCUCUCCUGCCAUGUAGCAUCAAAUACCUAUUUUCACUGGUUUUACUCCACAGUAUAUCCCAGUACUCUGACUGGACUCCGUUCCACUAACAGUACUGUUAACAGAUUACAACCUUUAAAAAUAAUUGGCUGCUUCUAUCCACUUCAGCUGAGCUGACAUGUUGAGACAUUUGCCUAAAGUACAAUACGGUUUCUAGCGACUUCAGACUUUUUCCCCGUCUCUAAUAGGACUGUUCAUCACGCGAUUCAGCAUAGUCCCUGCAGCACCUGAAACAUGGAGUGUGAUAACAACACUGUCACUGUAGGACACCA